UACAGAGGUCCCAAGCGUUGUUCGGAUUCACUGGGCGUAAAGGGUGCGUAGGUGGUUGGGCAAGUCUGAUGUGAAAUCUCCGGGCUUAACCCGGAAAUGGCAUUUGGGACUGCAAGGCUCGAGUGCGGCAGAGGAGACUGGAAUUCCUGGUGUAGCAGUGAAAUGCGUAGAUAUCAGGAGGAACACCGAUGGCGAAGGCAGGUCUCUGGGCUGACACUGACGCUCAUGCACGAAAGCGUGGGGAGCAAACAGG
rnacentral:rRNA from 1 species